GAUGAACGCUGGCGGCGUGCCUAAUACAUGCAAGUCGAGCGUAUGGAUUAAGAGCUUGCUCUUAUGAAGUUAGCGGCGGACGGGUGAGUAACACGUGGGUAACCUGCCCAUAAGACUGGGAUAACUCCGGGAAACCGGGGCUAAUACCGGAUAACAUUUUGAACCGCAUGGUUCGAAAUUGAAAGGCGGCUUCGGCUGUCACUUAUGGAUGGACCCGCGUCGCAUUAGCUAGUUGGUGAGGUAACGGCUCACCAAGGCACCGAUGCGUAGCCGACCUGAGAGGGUGAUCGGCCACACUGGGACUGAGACACGGCCCAGACUCCUACGGGAGGCAGCAGUAGGGAAUCUUCCGCAAUGGACGAAAGUCUGACGGAGCAACGCCGCGUGAGUGAUGAAGGCUUUCGGGUCGUAAAACUCUGUUGUUAGGGAAGAACAAGUGCUAGUUGAAUAAGCUGGCACCUUGACGGUACCUAACCAGAAAGCCACGGCUAACUACGUGCCAGCCGCCGCGGUAA
rnacentral:rRNA from 1 species